UGGAGUUUGCUUCAUCUGUGGAUCC
rnacentral:piRNA from 1 species